AGCAAAGCCAGAAAAUUUAACAUUGGGGAUGAAGUGUAUGGGGAUAUCAAUGAGGAGGGUAGCAUAAACCUGAAGAAGUUUGGGACUUUGGCAGAGUACACUGCUGCAGAAGAAAGAUUGUUGGCUCUGAAACCCACAAACCUGAGCUUUGUGGAAGCUGCUAGCCUUCCAAUGGCUAUGGAGACUGCCUAUGAAGGGCUGGAACGAGUUGGGCUUUCUGCUGGCCAGUCCAUUCUUGUUUUGGGAGGCGCUGGGGGGCUGGGCACACAUGUUAUUCAGGUACACAUUCAUUAAUUAAUUUUGUUCUUAUAUUUUUCUAGCUUAGGUAAAGCAGUUUCAAUGAUCCCCCCAUAUAUUGUUUUGUUUGUUUUUAGGUUAAUGUUUGUGUUAAUUUUUUGGCAGCUAGCAAAGCAUGUUUUUGGUGCCUCCAGAGUAGCAGCCACUGCAAGCACUAAAAAACUUGAUUUGCUGAAAAGCUUGGGUGCUGAUUUGGCUAUCGAUUACACUGAGGAGAGUGUGGAAGACCUGCCUGAGAAAUUUGAUGUGGUGUUUGAUGCAGUUGGUAAUUAAUUAAGAACUAAUCUUCAUUCUUCAUUUCUAUUUGUUUGCUAAUUAUGUGAAAUGAAAGCGAAAUAAUUCUAAAAUGAACCAAAAAAUAGGUCAGUCGGACAAAGCAGUGAAAGCAGUGAAAGCAGAGGGGAGGGUUGUGACAAUAUUUGGUCCAAUAACACCACCAGCCUUCAUGUUUGUGCUGACCUCAACUGGGUCCAGUUUAGAGAAACUCAAGCCUUACUUGGAGAGUGGAAAGGUGAAGCCAGUGCUUGAUCCCACAGGCCCAUAUCCAUUUUCUAAGACCCUUGAAGCAUUUGCCUACCUUCAAACUUCCAGGGCUGCUGGAAAGGUGGUUGUGUAUCCCAUCCCCUGACCCUUAGCUGAGAUCAAUUAGAGUUAUCAAUUAGAGUUUAUGUCUCGUAUAAUUAAUAUAUAUAUGUAUGCUUAAUCUUGGUUUAAUUACUAGCUACUUGUAUGUAGUUAGGUAAUGCAAGAUUGAUGUUGUAUAAUAUAAGUUGGAGUUUAUAAUUUGUAUCCCCCUUUGUUAUGAGAAAUACUUCUCUGGCUCGACGUCAAUGUUUAUAUUUCUAAGCAUUCACAAUGGUUAUUCAAUAGAUGGUAAAUAGUUCAUAGUUCAAUAUUAAACUAUUUUGGCAUUUAUUGAAUUGAACUGCAGUUUUACUUGUAAUAGUACAAUUCAAUAGCUUUAGAUCAAUAGUUAUAUUUACUUACAUUUUUUUUCACAUACUCAAAUAAAAUUUAAUAACACUAAAAAAUUGUAUCAUUGAAAUAUUUUCAAAGAUAUCUUUAAAAAGAGACCAAUUUUGAAUAUAUUUGAAAAAAUAAAUAAAUUAUUUUUUUUCUAUUGCAUUGAACUAUUGAACAACCAUUGCAUAUGCUCUUAACAACAUAAUGUAUUAACUGCCGUAUUUUAUAUAUUUUUUAUUGACAUGUGGAUCUCAUGGUUAGUCUAUUGCAAUUGCGAUAGAUGGUUCAUCAUAUAGCACUCUCUAUUGCAAUUGCAUCUAUUCCAAUGAACUAAAUCACACCAUUGCAAGUAAGAUUUUAUUGUUUUAGUUCAAUUUCAUGCAAUAAAAUUGCAUUGCUCCUAACCAUUACAAAUGCUCUUAUGUAACCACAUGAGAGAGAGAGAGAGAGAGAGAGAGAGAGAGAGAGAGAGAGAGAGAGAGAGAGAGAGAGAGAGAGAGAGAAUGAUAUUGGCACAGGGGCAUGAAGUAUUUUCCUAUGUUUUUGCCCUUUUUUUUAUUGUUCUACAAGUUUACCAGUUACACAGACAUUCCACUACGGAUACAGAUAAAGGCAAUCCAUCAAAAGAUUAUAUUAUGUUUGAUAACAUAACAAUUAGGAAAUUCACCAUCUUUUAACUAAGGCUUAACUCUUAAUUUGCCCCCUGAACUUGUACCUAAUUUUUUAUUUACCCACUAUUUUUUUUUAAAACAAAAUUAAAGAUAUAAUUUUUUUUUAUUGUUUUGCCAAAAAAUUUCUUCUUCUUCCCUUGUUUUGUUUUUUUGUUGUUGUUGUACAAGUUUACCAGUUACACACAGAGAUAUUCCACUAUGGAUACAGACAAAGGCAAUCCAUCAAAAGAUUAUCUUAUAUUUGGUAAAAUAACAAUUAGGAAAUCCACAAUCUUUUAACUAAUAAUAUAUGUACAUGAUGGAUCAUUAUAUAAUUCGAUAAAUGUUUGUUCACCGACCUCCACCCAGCCGCCGAUGGGAUCCACCACCUUCUUCCUCUUUCAGUUUGUCUUAGUUUUCUUUCGCAAUCUUUAAUUAAUGAGAGCAUCUGUGGUUGAGGUGUCAAACAUAACAUUUAGAGAGCUAGUACUAAAUUUGGGACCUUACAAACCAUUUGAACUUAUUUUCUGUUAUCAAAUUAUCAGUUAAAUUUACACAUCCAAAAACGAGUUUACGUGAUAGUCUUGUUUUUUUCAAAUGAGAAAAUAAAACUAUAUAACAAACCUAUACGAACAACCAAUGACAAUAAGGGGAAACCAAAGGACGUGAAUGACUUCGGAAGUAUGGCAUAACAAGAUAGACAAUUAGUCAUGAAAGUAACAUCUCCCUACAAUUGGUUGUACAUAAAUUUACAACCAAUUGGCAUACAAAAUUCAGGUGAGAGUAAAAAGUAUGCUGGAUUGGUAAUGAUGUGGCACUUUGUUAUAAUUUAUGACGCAAAUAAUAAGUUAAUAUCAUGGGGUUUUUUAUUUAAAUAAAGGACCUACUAGUAUAGUAGUUUGAAGCAUUUACUUCCUCAUGUAAGGUUCUGAGUUCGAAUUCUAACAUUCGUGUAGUGUGCGUGAGUUUAGUACGUCAUCAUCAGAAAGGUCUUUAAAAAAAAAACAAAAUAAAGACCUUCCAUUUUAAUACUAGCAAAAUAAGCGAAAAAGAUGAACGGACGAGAAUUUUCGACGAAUGCGGACAAAGAAAUAUAUAGUAGCAAAGCAAUGAUGCAUGGGUUUUGAUUUUGAAGGCAGUUAGCUUUUGAGAUUAUGACAGAAUAAUGUAUUAUUUUUUACUUGCUCAAAACAAAACCAGUAAAUAAAUACCCAGUCUCCCUCCCCAUUUUCCAUCUCAUUCUCAGACUUUCUAAGAAGCAGGGUCUGGUUGGUUUCUUGUUCUACCACAAUUAACCAAAGUUUCUUUCCUGUACAUCCAACAUGGCCGAUGCUUCAUGUGUAUCCACCACACCACCCUCUGUAAACAAGGCUUGGAUUUACAGAGAGCAUGGAGAAACUGCACAUGUUUUGAAGUUUGAAACAAAUGUGGCUGUUCCUCAAAUAAAGGAAGACCAGGUGCUGAUCAAGGUUGUUGCUGCAGCUCUUAACCCAAUUGAUGCCAAGAGGAUCCUUGGCGUUUUCAGGGCCACUGACACUGCUCUGCCUGUGAGCUCACUCAACUCAGCUGCCCCCUCUUCAUUUUUCUCUUUUCAUUUUUCCAUAAUUAAAUCAUUAACUAACUAAAAACUUAUCAUUAUGAAUUUAUGAAUCUGAUUUGUUUGCAGACAGUUCCAGGGUUUGAUGUGGCUGGUGUGGUGGUGAAGUUGGGAAGCAAAGCCAGCAAAUUUAACAUUGGGGAUGAAGUGUAUGGGGAUAUCAAUGAGGAGGGUAGCAUAAACCUGAAGAAGUUUGGGACUUUGGCAGAGUACACUGCUGCAGAAGAAAGAUUGUUGGCUCUGAAACCCAAAAACCUGAGCUUUGUGGAAGCUGCUAGCCUUCCGGCGGCUAUUGAGACAGCCUAUGAAGGGCUGAAACGAGUUGGGCUUUCUGCUGGCCAGUCCAUUCUUGUUUUGGGAGGCGCUGGGGGUUGUGGAACUCAUGUUAUUCAGGUACAUAUAUGUUCAUUUUUGUUCUUAUUCUUCUAGCUUACCUCAAACAAUCCUCCCAAUGUUUUGGUUGUUUUUAGGUUAAUAUUUGUGUUAAUUUUGUGGCAGCUAGCAAAGCAUGUUUUUGGUGCCUCCAGAGUAGCAGCUACGGCGAGCACUAAAAAACUUGAUUUGCUAAGAAGCUUGGGUGCUGAUUUGGCUAUUGACUACACUAAGGAAAACGUUGAAGACCUGCCUGAGAAAUUUGAUGUGGUGUAUGAUGCAGUUGGUAAAUAAUUAUUCUUCAUUUCUAUUUGUUUACUAAUUAUGUGAAAUAAAAGGGAAAUAAUUUUGAAAUGAACAAAAAUACAGGUCAAUCGGAUAAGGCAGUGAAGGCAGUGAAAGAAGGGGGAAGGGUGGUGACAUUAAUAGGUCCAAUAACACCACCAGCCUCCAUGUUUGUGCUCACCUCAACUGGGUCCAUUUUGGAGAAACUCAAGCCUUACUUGGAGAGUAGGAAGGUGAAGGCAGUGAUUGAUCCCACAGGCCCGUAUCCAUUUUCUAAGACCAUAGACGCAUUUGCCUACCUUCAAACUUCCAGGGCUACUGGAAAGGUGGUUGUGUAUCCCAUCCCCUGACCCUCAGCUGAGAUCAAUUAGAGUUUAUGUCUCGUAUAAUAAAUAUAUAUAUAUAUAUGCUUAAUCUUGGUUUAAUUACUAGCUACUUGUAUGUAGUUAGGGAAUGCAAGAUUGAUGUUGUAUAAUAUAAGUUGGAGUUUAUAAUUUGUAUCCCCCUUUGUUAUGAGAAAUACUUCUCUGGCUCGAAGUCAAUGUCUAUAUUUCUAAGCAUUCACAAUGGUUAUUCAAUAGAUGCCAAAUACUUCAUAGUUCAAUAUUGAAUUAUUUUCACAUCUAUUGAAUUGAACUGCAAUUUUACUUGUAAUGGUAUAGUUCAAUAGCUUCAUAUCAAUAGUUAUAUUUACUUACAUGUUUUUUUUACAUACUCAAAUAAAAUUUAAUAACACUAAAAAAUUGUAUCAUUGAAAUAUUUUCAAAGAGAUCUUCAAAAAGGAGUUUUUAUCAAAAAUAGCCAAAAUUUAACCCCCAAAUUCAUAAAUGUCAGUUUUUAAAAAUAAUUUCAAAUAUAGCAAAAAACUCACUUAAAUUGACCCAAAUGCCCUCUAAAUUAUAACUCAAUUACACCUAAAAGCUAAAACCCAAAAUAGCAAGAGCACAAAAACAAGAUUGGCUUCGUCAACUUAAUCAUGCCUAUGAAUCCUAUCAUAAAAAUGACAAUGUAAUUACCAAAAAGAAGAAGAAAAGGAACAGCCGAUGUUUUCAUAAAUCCAAGCAAUAAAAAUCAUCUCUGCGGCUAUGACUUGAUUCGGUGGGUUUGGGAGUUUUUUACAAUAAAAAAAGUUAAAGUCGGUUUCUUGACAUAAUAAUUUUUAAUUGAGAAAAAAAAGUUGAACUUUCUUGCAAAAUUCGUAUCAUAAAUACUGCUAGUCUGCAUAUGAUAUCAGGGGUUAAAUUUUCUUGCAAACCAUCAUAUGUGUUGCUGCCUUCCCUCAGCACAAGAGGUCAAGAAAAAUUGCAAGGCCCUCGCUGUUCAUAGACUAUCUUCCCUCAACACAAACUUGUCUAUAUUAACUUUGCUUUCCAUUAAGGGUGAUUGGCGAGGGGCAGUGUCCUUGUGUUUGAGGGUAGGCUGGGUGGAGGGUGAGGCUUGUGCUCAAUAGGUUACGGCUUGGAAGAGCAUGCUUUUUGGUUAGGUUUUAAUUUAGAGGGCAUUUGGGUCAAUUUAAGUGAGUUUUUGGCUAUAUUUGAAAGUUUUUUAAAAAACUGACAUUUAUGAAUUUGGGGGUUAAAUUUUGGCUAUUUUUGAUAAAAACUCUUCAAAAAGAGACCAAUUUUGAAUAUAUUUGAAAAAACAAAUUAAUUAUUUUUUUUUUUCUAUUGCAUAGAACUAUUGAACAACCAUUGCAGAUGCUCUUAACAACAUAAUGCAUUAAUUGUUGUAGUUUAUAUAUUUUUUAUUGACAUGUGGAUCUCAUGGUUAGUCUAUUGCAAUUGCAAUAGAGGGUUCAUCACAUAGCACUCUUUAUUGCAAUUGCAUCUAUUGCAAUGAACUAAAUCACACCAUUGCAAUUGAGAUUUUAUUGUUUUAUUUCAAUUUCAUGCAAUAAAAUUGCAUUGCUCCUAAUCAUUGUAAAUGCUCUUAUGUAACAUCAUGAGAGAGAGAGAGAGAGAGAGAGAGAGAGAGAGAGAGAGUAAUAUUGGCACAGAGGCAUGAAGUAUUUUCCUUCUUUUUUUUUGCCCUAUUUUUUUUAUUGUUCUACAAGUUUACCCAUUACAUAGACAUUCCACUUCGAAUACAGAUAAAGGCAAUUCAUCAAAAGAUUAUAUUGUGUUUGAUAACAUAACAAUUAGGAAAUCUACCAUCUUUUAACUAAGGCUUAACUCUUGAUUUGCCCUCUAAAUUUGUACAUAAAUUUUGAUUUACCCACUAUUUUUUUUUUAAGAAAAUUAAAUAUAUGAACUUUUUUUUUUCGCCAAUUUUUUCUAUGUCGUCUAAAUCCUCAACAUUUCAUCCAAUUUUAUGUUAAAUCAUUUAAAAAAUUAUUUUUUGAAAAAAAUUGAAGAAAAAAAUUUUCGUGAGUCCCACUUAACCAAACCCAAUGCCAAGCCCACAUCCCUCCCCCCCAACCCGAAGAACCCAUCCCUCAUUCCCCUUCUGUCUCUCCCCCUCCCAUGCCCCUCCUCCUCCUCCUCCUCCUCCUCCUUCCCCUUCCCCUUCUUCCCCUUUUAUAUCCCCCACCUUCUCCCUCUAAUCUCUUUCGCUCUCUCUCCUCCCGCAACCCCAUCGACCACAAACCCCAUUGAGGCACCCCCGCCCCCCUCAUCAACCCAACCUCACAGACCCUGCUCCCACCCGAGACCCAUCCCCAGCCCUUGCCCCACCUGAGACCCAUCUCCAAGCCCUUGCCCAAACCCAAACCCAUCACAUCCCCCAACACUUUCUCCCUUCCCCUCCCCCCNNNNNNNNNNNNNNNNNNNNNNNNNNNNNNNNNNNNNNNNNNNNNNNNNNNNNNNNNNNNNNNNNNNNNNNNNNNNNNNNNNNNNNNNNNNNNNNNNNNNAUAUUUCAAUUUUUAAAAGUUUUUCAUUUUAUUUUUCAGUGUUUAUAUAUUGUUAACGUGUAAAAUGACAAUUUUGCCCUCACAUUUAAUGGCAAAUUGAAUGAAAUGUUACAGAUUUAAACAUCAAUGGACAAAUUGGGUGAAAAAACAAAAGUUCAUAUCCUUAAUUUUAAUAUAAGGUAAAUUAAAAAUUAGGUACAAAUUUAAAGAGGAAAUCAAGAGUUAAGCCUUUAACUAAUAAUAUACUAUAUAAUAUUUACAUGAUAGACCCAAAUGCUUCCACCGCCGACGGUGGGACCCACCCCAGCUUUUUGUUCCUCUUUCUGUCCUAAUUUUCUUUCUUAAUCUUUAAUUUGUUAUAAAAUCACCAUUUUCAAUAACCAUGGUAGCCACAACCUUCGCGGUCGACCAUAUUGAAAGUUCCAAAUUAGAUAGUAAAGUGACUAUAUUAAUGACAGCAUCUGUGGUUGAAGUGUCACCCGUCCGGUGGAGAUAAAAAUAUAUAGUAGCAAAGCAAUGAUGCAUGUUAGAGCUCCAAUAGAAACAACAUAUCACGCAUGGGUUUUGAUUUUCAAGGCAACAAGAGCAAAUGUCAAAAUUUGACUGCCCGUUGCAGCCUUGUUUUACUCUAUUCUUAAAUGUCAAAAUUUGACUGCCCGUUGCAGCCUUGUUUUACGAAGUGUCAAAUUUUACUCGUAUUCGUGUUGUGUAAGGAUCAUAUAUAUAUAUGUUAAGAAUGCUUAAUUUAAAUUUGAUUCAUUUAAUAAACGUGUCGUGUUGGGUUAAUCUGCUAACUCUUCAUAUGGGUUUUGAGUUAUAUAUUGGAUUGAUCUACUAAGAGCAUCUCUAACUCAUAUAUCAAAUUGUCACAUAGACAUGAAAUAUCAAAAAUUCAAAUUUAACAUUUUGCAAUUGACAUCUCCCUUGGAGAUACUCUAUGUGGUAAACUAGUAACUAGCGGAAUAAAAAUGUAGACAAAAAAAAAGUAGGAAAAGAAAUGACUAUUCAAAGAAUUUUGAUAAUUUAACAAGUAAUUGCAUUCUUUUUUUAUAUAUAAAAUACUGAUUAUAUUUUGCCUCUUUCUAUGUAUGAAGAUUAAGAAAAAGAGAUUAAAAAAUAAAAUAAAAUUAGAAAAAUGAAGAAAAUGAAGAAGAAACAAAGAAACUGGUUGGCAGGUUAGAUAUUUUAGCGAGUUUGUGAGUUGAAUUCUUUAAUAAACCUAUUAUGUAGGUAUUUUAGUAGGUUGGUGGGUUGACUCGAAACCCAUUUAUUUAUUAAACGAAUCAUAGGGUUGACUUGAAAAUUUAUUCGUGCGGAUUAAUUUGUUAAUUUUCCGUGUGGGUUUCGAAUUGUGUUGGAAAUUGCGACUCCCUACACUAUCAAAACAAAACCAGUAAAUUGUCACAGCUUACGUUAUUAUCUGGAUGUUACUGUAUGAACGAACCAAUUAACAAUUUGUGUUCGUCUUUACAGCGGCGACGAGUCAAACUAUGCAGACAUGAUUGAAUGAAAGUUCAAGCUUGAAACAGAUAUAAAUACCCAUUUUCCAUCACAACAGAUUACACAAACAGACAAUCCCAUCUCAUUCUCUGGCUUUCUAAAAAGCAGGCUCUUUUUUUUUUAAGGGGUUUCUAUAAAGUUCCUUUCUUGUUCUACCACAACCAAAGUUAACUUCCUUUCUUGUACAUCCAACAUGGCUGAGGCUUCGUGUGUGUCCACACCACCAUCUGUAAACAAGGCUUGGAUUUACAGAGAACAUGGAGAAACUGCACAUGUUUUGAAGUUUGAAACAAAUGUGGCUGUUCCUCAAAUAAAGGAAGACCAGGUGCUGAUCAAGGUUGUUGCUGCAGCUCUUAACCCAAUUGAUGCCAAGAGGAUCCUUGGCGUUUUGAGGGCCACUGACACUGCUCCGCCUGUGAGCUCACUCAACUCAGCUGCCCCCCUCUGCAUUUUUCUCUUUUCAUUUUUCCAUAAUUAAAUCAUUAACUAACUAAAAACUUAUCAUUAUGAAUUUAUGAUCCUGAUUUGUUUGCAGAUAGUUCCAGGAUAUGAUGUGGCUGGUGUGGUGGUGAAGUUGGGAAGCAAAGCCAGCAAAUUUAACAUUGGGGAUGAAGUGUAUGGAGAUAUCAAUGAGGAGAGUAGCCUAAAUCUGAAGAAGUUUGGGACUUUGGCAGAGUACACUGCUGCAGAAGAAAGAUUGUUGGCUCUGAAACCCAAAAACCUGAGCUUUGUGGAAGCUGCUAGCCUUCCGGCAGCUAUUGAGACAGCCUAUGAAGGGCUAAAACGAGUUGGGCUUUCUGCUGGCCAGUCCAUUCUUGUUUUGGGAGGCGCUGGGGGUUGUGGAACUCAUGUUAUUCAG
rnacentral:lncRNA from 1 species